AAAACAAAGAAAGUUUAAAGACAAUUUAAAGUUGAUAAUUAUUGUAAGAGCUAUAGAAGAAAUGGAUGUUCGUACAAUAUUAUAUUUAAUUAUUACUUUGCUUCUUUUGAUAUCGAUUUCAAUAUCUCUUUGCUUUUGCAUACGCAAGAAGCCAGAUAAUCAAAACCUUUUUUCAGAUUCGAACCCUAAUCAACACGAUCAUAGUGGUGGCCCCACUAGAGUGACGUCACCAUAUAUCGCGGGAAUAUAGUUGCGGUUCGAUCCACCGUAACAAGAUGGUGUAUGUAAUUCUUUUUGAAGUUUCAUGUAAGUACAAUAAAAUGGUCUCUUAUGACGAUCAAGUAAAUGAUCUUUAAUUUCUACGAUUUCUUCAUCAACAAUUUGUACAGGUCAAGUUCAUCAUUUGGUAAUUAUGAUAUAAUUUUGUUGUAGUUUAAUUUCUUGUAGGUAUUGUUUGUAAUGUUUGGUAAUAUUAUGUAUGGAACAUGAGAGUUUAGACAGAUUCAGAAUGUAAAGUAACUUUAUAUGAUUAUAUGAAAUUCAAUGAAAGAAGAAAUACCACAUAUGAUAAUAUGUUAAUUAUCGUUUUUGUACUCAAAAGUAGCAGAACAAGAACAACAACAACGAUAAAAAAGAAAAAGACGAAGAAGAAGACGAUCAGAUCAAGUUCAAGUUCAAAUUCAAAUACAUCGUCUGCUUCAACUGAAAGAAGCACAAUAGAUUCAAAUCGAAAGUGAACCUUCGUUAAAGAUGAUGAUUCUAAUGAGCUCAACAAGAAGAUGAUGAAUUGUAAAAUUUUGAAGAGAUCAAACAGAGGAUUAUAAUGCUUAUGAAACAUGGGAAGAAAUAGGAAAAUAAGAGUGAUAUGAAUCUUGAAUUAUUUUUUUUUGAUUUUGAGAUUUAAACGAGUCCAU
rnacentral:lncRNA from 1 species